rnacentral:rRNA from 1 species
UACGAAGGGGGCAAGCGUUGUUCGGAAUUACUGGGCGUAAAGGGCGCGUAGGCGGUCUUGUCAGUCAGGUGUGAAAGCCCGGGGCUCAACCCCGGAACUGCACUUGAUACUGCAGGACUAGAGUGUAUGAGAGGUAAGUGGAAUACCCAGUGUAGAGGUGAAAUUCGUAGAUAUUGGGUAGAACACCAGUGGCGAAGGCGACUUACUGGCAUACUACUGACGCUGAGGCGCGAAAGCGUGGGGAGCAAACAGG